rnacentral:rRNA from 1 species
UACGUAGGGUGCGAGCGUUGUCCGGAAUUAUUGGGCGUAAAGGGCUCGUAGGCGGUUUGUCGCGUCGGGAGUGAAAACCAGGUGCUUAACACCUGGCUUGCUUUCGAUACGGGCAGACUAGAGGUAUGCAGGGGAGAACGGAAUUCCUGGUGUAGCGGUGAAAUGCGCAGAUAUCAGGAGGAACACCAAUGGCGAAGGCAGAUCUCUGGGCCGUAACUGACGCUGAGGCGCGAAAGCUAGGGGAGCGAACGGG